GGGAGGAGUCACCAAUGGAAUAUGCUUACUGGUCUGCCUGGUGUCUAUGAUGAUUGCCCCAGUUUUAGUACUUUAGACCAAAACACUUUGAUAAAUAACUGCCAUUUAAAAAUAAAUAAAAAAAAUUCUCUUUUGUUGAUAUUGCUCUUAAAUCAUUCUUUAAUCCUUCAGUACAGUAAACCUUGUGUCUGCCUUUAGUGAGUAUAUCCCUAAUUUUCCAUUGUCUGGCAUAUUGUCUAC